GUGUGUAUGGAUGUGUGCCUGUGUGUGUGUGCAUCUGUGUGUGUAUGGAUGUGUGCCUAUGUGUGUGUGUGCAUCUGUGUGUGCCUGUGUGUGUGUGUGUGUGUAUGUGUGCCUGUGCUGGGUGAGAACCAUCCCACAGGGGCCCCUCCCAGGAGAGAGCGUUGCUCUGCCCUUGACGUUAGCAGGGCCGCCCUCCUGCAAGGUCGGCUCUGGGGCCCAGGGGUCAGCGUCCGCAUCCUCUGCCAGAUUCAUGUCCACUGGGACCUCAGGACGGGACUUGGUUUCGAAAUAGGGUCUUUGCAGAUGUAAUUAGUGAAGGAUCUCGAGAUCAUCCUGGAUUCAGGAUGGGCCCCAAAUCCAAUGACAAGUGUCCUCGUAAGAAGGGGAGAAGACACGGAGACACAGAGGGAAGACAGCCACGGGAAGCUGGAGGCAAGGACUGGAGGGACAUGACCACAGCCGAGGGGCACCAGGAAGCCCCAGAAGCCGGAGGAGGCAGGAAGGGUCCUCCCCUGGGGCUUUAGGAGGGAACGUGGCCCUGAGACACCUUGAUUCCAGACUCCCGUCCUCCGGAGCUGUGAGGGGACAAAUGUCUGUGUCUUGGUCAUUUGUUAGAGCCGCAGUAGAAAUCGGACAGUCUGGACGAGGCACCUGCAUCCUGGACAAAGGGGACAGGAAUGGGGAAGGGCAGGCCCUCUCAGCAGGGGUGCUGGGAGGCCAGGCCAGGUGCGUGGGGUCCCCGCCCGCCCACCUCAGCCCCUCCCCGUGGGCACCUGCAGUCCAGGGGCAGCCCCCGUACAAGGGGGCAGCCCUCACCCCGAGGGGGAGUCCCAGCCUCUCAGAGGGUCCCACAGGCCUGAGGCCCAGCUGUCCCCAAGAGCCACUGCUGGUUAACUGCACCGCUCCGGCUUUUCUCACUCCCCGCUCACUGUGCUUCCCAAAUAAACCUCCUGUGUCCCCAUCUCAGCUUUUGGGGGCCCAAGCUGAGGCCGGACACCUCCGCAUAGGACCCCGCUGGGCCUGGACCACCUGCUCUGGGGGAGGCGGCUGGUGCUUCCUGGAGAUGCUGGGUCCAGGGGGCCUUUGCGCUAAGAGCUCCACAUGCAUUCCGAGACGUCGAGCUGUUCAUGCGAGAACUUGACACUUCGGGCAGAAAUAUAACUUGUGACUUUCUUUCCGCGAGUUUAGAAUUGGCUCCGGUACCACUCCGCACGAUCCGUGCGGCCAGGAAGCGUCAGGUCGGAUGUCCGUGUAUUUCCCAGGUAGAAAAGGAAGGCAUCGGAGCAGGAAGAGAUGCAGAUGCCCUCCGUGUGCCGGCUCAGGUCCUGCGGCUGCUCCGACAAAGCUCCACGAGCCGAGCGCCUUAGCGCAGCAGACGGUCAUUGUCUCGCGGUUCUGGAGGCCAGGAGGCCCAAAUGGAGGUGUCGGCAGAGUCGUGGUCCCUCUGAAGGUGCCAGGCAAGGAUCUGUCUCAGCUGCUGCUGGCUCCCUGUCUCGGGGCAGCGUCACUCCAACUUCCCACGGCUUCUCUGUGUGCGCCUGUGUCUCUUUUCAUAAGGUCACCAGUCUUACUGCAUUAGGGGCCCGCCCUGCUCCCGUCUGACCUCAUCUUAACUGAUUACAGCGGCCACACCAAGAAGGUCGCAUCCUGAGCUGCUGGGGGCUAGGACCUCAAUAGACGAACCGGAGGGACGGGGGCGCUAGCAUCCAACACAUAACAAAUGGAGAGAAAAGAAGUAGAAAAAGGUGACUGGCGGGCCGCAGUUGUGUAAGAACUCACACUGCUGUUGUGGGUGCCAAGGGCAGUCAGCUGGGCACAGGGCUGAUAUGUCGUGAGUUGCGUGAAAUGUGUUACUCGCUUUUCAUUUUUCUGUUUGUAGAAUGACAUUUGCUAUGUUUAAAUUCUCAUUAAAAUGUCUAAUGCAGUUUUUUCCAC